rnacentral:lncRNA from 1 species
UGCCAUCAUCAUCAUUGCUAAGUAACCAUGACAAGCAAGAGUCACUCCUGCAUAUGACUCAAUAAUGCCUCACAGAUCACAAAGCCCCUUCCCACCCACUGUUUCCUCUGAGCUCACACCACCCUGUAUGAGAUGGGCAGGAGAAUUUCUUUCCUGCCACUCUGCCUAUGGGGACACAGAGAACUUGAAAUGUCAAAUGACUUCUCCAGGGCUCCACAGCUAGGAAGAGGCAGAACCAGGAAGGAAUUGGAGCUCAUGUCUGUAUCUACAUCAUGACUGGCCCAAGACUCCAGCACCCUCAACCACCAAGCUCUCUACCUGGUAUUGGCAAGACAGCCUGCUGCUGGAGAAAUUUCAGAGGUGUCCUCUUGCCUGGGGUCCUCCUUCAGAUGGCCAAGUCAGAAGGACACAGCCCCCCUGCCGGGAAAUCCAGGCCAGCUACUCGGGAGGCUGAGGUAGGAGGAUCGCUUGAGCCCAAGUGUUUGAGGCUGCAGUGAGCUAUGAUUAUGUCAACACCUGGGUGACAGACUGAGACCCUGUCUCUAAAAAUAAAUAAAUAAAGCAUCCACAAACCUCUAUCUGGCUGAUGUCUGCUCAUUGUCUGACUUUAGUCUCAGUACAGAGUGGGUGUUCCCAGAAGGAGAGAAUGGCUUGCAGCGCAUUCGAGGCACAGCUUGGCAGGGGCUGUGACGCCCUCUUCUGUGGAAUUCUGGGAAGAAUGAGGGAGAAUCAGCUCUGCCACUCUGGGAGGAUCAUAUAAUUUCCCAGCCUGCCUCCUCAUCUCCUGGCGGGGACAGGGGCAGAAU